CGGGGGGUGGGGGGGGAGCGAGCACUGUAGGCUGAAAGAGUUCAAUGGCAACACAAGUGUCCUGUAUGAAGGUGGGCACACUAUCUGCCCUCUGUCCCUCUGGUCCCAGAGCACCAGUAACACCCACAGCCGCCCUUGCAGAGAGAAUGUACUUCCACUCCAGGGGCUGGCAGCUGAGCGUGUGUAUGGCCAGCUGGGAGAAGCAGCACCUCCCCGCUAGGAUGUAGCUCCAAUCAGCUCUGCUGCAGGUCUCCCAGAGUGAGCACAGCUGCUGUGGCCGGGGCCCUGGGUACAGAGCUUUCAAACUGCACUGCUGGGCCUCUUCCCAUCAAAACUGGCGUGCAAAGAGUCCACGUAACUCCCGCAAGACCCCCCCAGUCACCACUGCCUCCCAGAAAAGCCCUUAUUCCACAGUCUGAUGGCUCCCUUGCUCAUACAGCCUGUGCUAGAAGACUGGGAUGGGGCUAGCCAAGUUCACCUGUAACUCCAGCACUUGGGAGGCGGAGGCAAGAGAAGCCCUGUGAAUCUGCGGCCAGUCUGGGCUACGUGGUGAGGCUUUCCCAGCUACACAUGGGAACUAACAACAGCGGCCAUCAUGGGUUAUUCUGAGGAGUAGUUGGCUCAUCACAAGGCACUGAACAUCAUCUAGCCAUAGUGGAUACAGCCAAGCCACAGAGGUGCCACAGUUCUAGAAAUGGUGGCUCUUGGAGGAGCUGGGUCAGGAUUUCAGCCUGGGCAUUCCGAUUCCAGAGGCUGCUGAUCUUCUGGACACCCACCACCACCGCGCCUCCCUGCGGCUCCCACUAGAACAAGGACAGCAGAGGAGACUGAAGGAGAGGAGACACUGGGGUCAAGGAUGCAGAUUUUCCAUCCAGCUCAAAAGAAGUGAGCCUGGGAUAACUGGCGUCCAUGGGAGGUGUUUGGUCCUUCACCAACUCUUAACGGACACAUUUUAAAUAUUGGAUAAUACAUUUUUAAAGCACAGCAGGUUCCCAUAACCCAGCAAGAGCAACUCCAGAGAGGCCCA
rnacentral:lncRNA from 1 species